AGCGAACGCUGGCGGCAGGCCUAACACAUGCGAGUCGAGCGGGGUCUUCGGACCUAGCGGCGGACGGGUGAGUAAUGCGUAGGAAGCUGCCCGAUAGAGGGGGAUACCAGUUGGAAACGACUGUUAAUACCGCAUAAUGUCUACGGACCAAAGUGUGGGACCUUCGGGCCACAUGCUAUCGGAUGCGCCUACGUGGGAUUAGCUAGUUGGUGAGGUAAUGGCUCACCAAGGCGACGAUCUCUAGCUGGUUUGAGAGGAUGAUCAGCCACACUGGAACUGAGACACGGUCCAGACUCCUACGGGAGGCAGCAGUGGGGAAUAUUGGACAAUGGGCGCAAGCCUGAUCCAGCCAUGCCGCGUGUGUGAAGAAGGCCUUCGGGUUGUAAAGCACUUUCAGCGAGGAGGAAGGGGUGUGUGUUAAUAGUACACACCUUUGACGUUACUCGCGGAAGAAGCACCGGCUAACUCUGUGCCAGCCGCCGCCGUAAUAC
rnacentral:rRNA from 1 species